AAUAGAACGAAUCAGCGAAACAUCUUCUGAAUACAGUUUGAAUAAAAUCCACUAAUGCCAUUACAUAUUAUAGCUACGUGACGUGUAAUUAAACACAGGUUACAUUUGUUUCAUUUGAAAAAGCUUGAGUGAGACGUGAAAAAUACUGUGUAUUAUUAUCAAAACAGUAGGUACGAUGUCAAUAUGUAGGACGACGAGAACGAACAUACAAAUCAACUUCCGUAUAAAGCUUGAAUAAAUUCCGACUUACAACAAUAGUGGUUAAAGUUCAAUAACUCAAGUGCUUAAAAGAUUUAUCGUAUAUAUCAUCAUGAUCAAUGUUGUGGAAUACACUAUUACAUAAUGUUCCUAUAAAGUGUACGAUAUGUUUACAUAUUCAUAAUCUAUGUUCGUGCACAUAAAAUAUCAAAGAUGGCGAUCGAGAGAGCUGCAUCAUCACUACAUUCAUCAGUUCAAAAGGAAUAAUAUGCACGAACGAAUGCUUAAAUAAAAUUUACCUAGUUCCUUUCUUACACAUAUUCAAUCAUUGUAUCGGUAUAAAAGUCCGAAUAGCUAAAAAAAAAAGUUUAUAAAAUCCCAC
rnacentral:lncRNA from 1 species